rnacentral:rRNA from 1 species
CGGAGGGUGCUAGCGUUGUUCGGAAUUACUGGGCGUAAAGCGCGCGUAGGCGGCUUUGUAAGUUAGAGGUGAAAGCCCGGGGCUCAACUCCGGAACUGCCUUUAAAACUGCAUCGCUUGAAUCCGGGAGAGGUGAGCGGAAUUCCGAGUGUAGAGGUGAAAUUCGUAGAUAUUCGGAAGAACACCAGUGGCGAAGGCGGCUCACUGGACCGGUAUUGACGCUGAGGUGCGAAAGCGUGGGGAGCAAACAGGAUUAGGUACCCUGGUAGUCCACGCCGUAAACGAUGAUAACUAGCUGUCAGGGGCCAUGGGCUUUUGGUGGCGCAGCUAACGCAUUAAGUUAUCCGCCUGGGGAGUACGGCCGCAAGGUUA